rnacentral:lncRNA from 1 species
AUGAAAACCAGCAAAAGGGUUUAGAGACUCAUCAUGUUUGGAAUCUUUUUAAAGCCUCUGGCAAUUCAUAGCACCAUCUUUCCCGUGAGUGAUUGUCAGAUCCAAGGUGAAGGAUCACCGCACAGGACACAAAGUCCCCAGAAACAGCUGCUGUGCCAUGGAUAAGAUGACCUGAACCAGUCUCCAGCUACCAGGAAAGAUGACCUGAACCAGUCUCCAGCCACCAGGAAAAUGACUUGUUGCCAGUGCUACUGCUGCUUCUUCUCCAGGGAGCUGACUGGCGGGACAGUGAAAGACUUGUUACACAAUAGCAAAACAGCAUCCAGGUAUAAA